UCCCCUUAGUUCCUCUCUCCUUCCUCUCUAUUCUCCCUCUCUCGCCUCUCUCCCAGGACAUCUCACCACCACCAUCUGCUGCCACCAGAAAUCGCCCACCGACUGUGGACCACCUUUAAUCUAUCCCAAAUUCACACUACGGCCUCCCUUCACUUCCCCCUUUCUAAAUCCACGAACCAAAUCUCUUCAAUCCCUAUCAAACUUCUCAAAUCGAUCCUAGACCAAAACACUAUCUUUCUUUUUCCUUUUAUAAUUCAUCAAGUUUUAGCCAUCGUCAUCCCAUACAACCUACAUGACCGUGUAUAUAUCCUUGAGAUCUACAUUUUACCUAUAGAUUGACCUAAAAAAUCCAUCGGAAUCCAGCCAAACUUAGGCCGCCACCGCCGCUUCCAAUACCGCACCACCACUGACCCCCUAUCGUUUAGACUACUUGACCUAAAAAUUCAUGUUUUCUUCAAGUAUGAUGCCAAAAGUUAUUUGCUUUGGUAUCUACUAAAAAGAAUUUGUGUUUUGGGGUCGGACAGCCGUCUCUUGGGGUUUGCUUCAUUAUUUGGUGGCUCGAGUUAGCAUCGGAUGCUCGUAUGGUAAAACCUUGCUCCCUCCUUUCACUUUCUGAUUUUUCCCCUUUUAUUUCCUUUGUUUUGUUAUGUUGUUUUAGCAUUAUGCUUAGAGUUUAAUUUUCAUUAUAUGUUAUGUUAUUCGUAUCUAUUUGAGCAGUGAUUCGUGGAGUUGCCAUUAUUCGCGUGAUGUUGUAUGUCGCUUCCGGUUAGCCCUUUAGUUGCUCACAUUGUUUAGUUUUGUUGUAUCAUGUAAUAUUGAGAUCAAUUUAUUUACUUCUUGACUAAUUAUUCAUUUAGUUUGGUUACAUUGAUCUAAUUCAUAUGUGAUAUUUCUAUGUUGCUCUUUUUGUUACAUUGAUUUGGAACCUUAAUCCUUUCUUUAGUUUUCUGAUAUUUGUUGCCUACUACUUUAUUGUAGUUAUCGUAGUAGUAUAAGUCCUGUUAGUGGUCGAUUUUAGUUCGUUUUCUAUCCAGUUUUCAGUUUCGUCAUUAGUUUAAAUCAAACUUUUUCACUAAGCUAUUUUCUAUGUUAACAUGUGUCUUGCUUGGUUUGAUUUUAAUCAUUAGGUUUUAAGUUCUCUUGAUUAAUUAAUAGUUCAGUAUUAAGUUUUAGUUACAUGUAUGUGGUAGUUUAACUAAGUUCUAGUUACUUGUUUCUCGUUUGGAUUGGUGCAAACUAGAUUUUGUUUGGUUAAAGCUGAAAGUUAGAAUGUGUUAAUCAUGAAAUACGCACAUGUUAUCUUGCUUUUACUGAUUAAGCAUGCUGAAAAAAACAACCACUUCACUUUGUGUCAUAUUUUGGGUGAAAAACUAGAUGAUUUUGAUACACAAAGUUAGUCCUUUCGGACAGAUUUUGGUGAACUAAAAUCUGUCCAAAAUGACUUGUUUUUCAUGUUUAAAGUGAUCAUUCUUUCAUAUAUAAUGACACAUACAAUCUAUCACACUUAGACAUCAUCUUUUACACUCAAAAUAAUACAAAACUUGAGAAAAAAAUCAACAGCUGAAUGUGACGACCCGACCCGUCAUCUCAUGCGUUGCUGCCCCAUUUUUCCAUUUAUGCUUCUUCUUGUUUCAUUAUCAGUAUGUGAUGCACUAUAGUUUAUUUGGAUUGAUUUUGAUGAGAAAGGAGAAACUUAGUCUCUUUAAGGGAAGGCUAGUUUGGAAAAGUCAAUGGGAAGUUGACUUGUGAGUUAGAGGGCUCGGAAUAGAUUUUGGAUGAUUUGGUUUGUUUUGGGAGAUAAUUUAAGAUUUAGGAGCGCAAUAAAAAGUAAAUUUUAAGCCUCGGUGUAGAAGUUAGCCUAUUUUGGCGAAAUCCGGUUGAUAGGUGAGAUUUUGAUCUGAGGGCCGUAAUGGAAUUCCGAGAGUUCCAGUAGCUUCGUUUGGUAAUUUUGGAUAUGUGUGUCAAUUUUUAGGUCAUUCAGACAUUGUUUGGUUGGAUUUUUGAUCGAAAGUGCAUUUCGAGAGUUCUUGAAGAACUUAAGCUUUGAUUUGGUGAAAUUUGAUGAUUCUGAUGUUAGAGAUAGGGUUUUUUUGGUUCCAACAAGUUUGAAUAAGGUAUUAGAUCAUGUUUAUCUUUUGGUUGAGGUCCUGGGGACCUCUGGGUGAUUUCGGAUGGCUAAACGGAAGAUUUUUGGACUUAGGAUGUUGCAGAAAAUUACAGAUCAGUAUUGCAGACAUUUGUUCUAUGAGAUCACAUGAGCAGGGGUGCGAUCCCAAAGAGGGAUUUUGGGGGUAUGAUCACUUGUUCAAUGUGAUAGCGUGUCAGCGGUGCGAUCGCAGAGAGAAAAAUUUUGGAGUUUGGAUUUUGUUCAAUGUGAUUGUGGUGUUGUGUAUGCGAUCGCACAGUGAAAAUUGUCUGGUCGAUGCUAUCGCGUGGUCCCAUAUGCGAACACAUAGGGUUAAAUCCAAGGUAAAUAUUUUUGUGCUAUGCUAUCGCAAUGUCUUGCAUGAGAUCACAUAGAGGAAAUCUAGGAUGGUAGAGUGGGUUUUUUAAAACAUUUCAUCCGCGACUUGAGGGUUAUUUUCCUCCAUUGUUGAGCACCUUGAGAACUUUUUAGGAGCAAGUGAAGAGGGUUUCGUAGGGGAUAGACUGCAUAUUAGUCCUAUGAACUAAAAUCAUGAUUAUGUUGUGAAUUUGGUCUAGAAAUUUAUAGAAAUUAAGCCUAAAAUUGAGGAACUAAGGCUUGAGUUUUUCAUAUUUCAAACUGGGAUUUGAUAGGUCAUUUGAGCUUGUAUUGGGAGUUCUUGGUAUGUAUGGACUCGUGUCUAGAUGAGGAAUCCGGUAAUGUAAGUUCCAUAAUUUUUUAAGAAGCGAGCCAGGGGCUCGGGUUUUGCUAGUUUUGAGAUUUUUGCUAUUUCUCAAUUGUUUUUGAUUGGUUAUUGUUCCCUUAGUAUAUUGUGAUGCAUUCGCUCUCGUUUUGGUUAGAUUCGACGCGCGUGGAUGCCGAUUUGAGGGGAAAAGGUGUCGCGGGCUAGAGAUUUCGUCGGUUCAAGGUGAGUAAUACUUGUAAAUGGUAUCCUGAGGUUUGAAACCCUGAAUUUGCACAUCAUAGUGCUGUAUUGAGGUGGCUUACACGUGGGUAUGAGUGUGGGGUAGAGCACCGUUGGGGACAAUGAUUUGGUUCGUCCUGGUUGUUGAUUUUUACCACAUAUUUGAUUGAAAUUAUUUGUUAUCAUCAUAAUUUGGGCUGAUUGUCAUGUUUGGGGCUUCGUGCCAACUAUGUUAACCCUUUGGGGAUUGAUAUCACUGAUUUUGCAUUACUUGAAUAUUAUUUGAUCUCGGUCCAAGGUUUUAAUACUGUUUUGCAAACUCACAUUGUAAGCUUUGAAAACUUAAAAACAAUAUUUUAUUGACGUUUGAGAUGAGGACUAUCAUGUUAAUAUUGCCCAAAUGGCUUAUGUGCAUUUCUGGACUAAGCAUGGUCCGGGCUGCGCACCGCAGCACUAUCAUAGUGAUUUAUGAAUAUGUGAGUGGCUCGGGCUGCACACCGCAGCAAUGAUAUAUAUUGAUAUUGAGGCCGACAGCCUGUUUUAUGCCAAUACCUGGAUAAUAUUACGCUUGGGCUGUAGAAGACCCUCCGGAAUCUGUACAUACCCCCAGUGAGCGUCGUAAAUGUUAAAUGGAUCGGGCUGGACGCCGCAGCGGGUACUCAAGUGUACCGUCAUAUAAAUUGCAUUGCAUUCAUAUAUUUGUGCACUAUUUGUUGUUUGUGUCAUUUCUUGAGGUAUUUAUUUGUGGUUCUGACUUGUCUGAUAACUUUCAUAGUGGAUAAAUUUGAGAUAGUGGUAACAGUGAACACUGUAUGAGUAAAUGGGUCAGGUAACAGUGGCUGACCAGAGAUAAAAACAUUUCCUGAAGGGAGAGUUGUGAGCUCAAUUGUGCAUACUUGCUUGUGCCCGAGAGGUUGACUUUUGCGCUGACUUGCACUGCUUGUCCUGCAUUUGCUUGCUUAACUAUUGGCAAAAGAUAUUUUUAAAAGUGAUUUUUAAACCGAGGCAGAUAUUUUCUAAAGGAUUUUCCCUGACUUAUUGUUUUUCUCAAAUGGUUGUGUUGUCCCAUAUUGCAUGGUGGAGUGCUCUUACGUGAUCUCUUGCCUUCAGUUUUUAUUUACUCUUAUUACCGUUGAGUUGGAAGUACUCACUUUACUCCCUGCACCUCGCAUGUAGUUGCAGGUAUUGUUCGCUCGGUAGCGGGUUAUUAGCGGAUUGAAGAUCUGCUAUCGUAACUGAGCUAGGUGACCGCUAGCGUCUACGACACCAGAUCUUAUCCCUUAUUUUAUGUUGUUUAUGUUAUUUUCAGACUUUGUUCCCAUUUCCGAAUGUGUAGUUCUUUAGUGAACUCUGCAGUAGCUCAUGACUAGUGACACCCAGAUGUCGGGCUGUGACAGGAUGGUCCCCUGUCGUUAUCGUUGUUUUCUGCACUAUUGUUUAUGCUAAUCAUGUUUGAACAUUAUGAAUUUUAAUGAACUACUAAAAAUGAUGAAUUUGUUUUGUUGGAUGGCCUCAUCUUCACGAAAG
rnacentral:lncRNA from 1 species